AUUAAGCGGAUGCUUACGUCCUUGACAAUUGCAGACUCUUCUUUCUGCUUUAUUUAUAUUUUGAGAUAUCUCUAUUUGACGUAUAGCUUUUUCGAUGUCGGCGAGACCUUCAAUUCUGUUAGAAGAAGAGUUAUUAUGUUUUACACUUUUCUUUUCCGGAAUAAGGUCAGAAGUCAUUACGCCUGGAGAGACAUUUUUCGUAGUUUUGCUAGAUUUUUCAUGUGAUGAAAUAUUGUUUGAUUGUGAUUUAUUCCUCGAAGCAGGAUUGACUUUAUACAUUUCUUCAUCAUAUCCUUUUUGCUUAUUGUUAGCGAUAUAGAAACUUGGAUGAGAAGAUGUGGCAGUAUUUUUUUGCCGAAUAUUAUUAUUUGGUGUCACAUUCUUCUUGUUUUUCAUGAUCGAUGGAGAAUUACCAGAAUGCGUAGAGUGAAAUCUUUUUUGAUUGAAGUCACUAAUGAAUUCUAUAGUCUCAGCAGAAUCCCCCAGUAAAGAAAUCCAAUAAUCUUUUGCGGCUUCGGAAGAAUCGACUGCUAAAGCAGUGCUUGUUAUCAUUGCGGCACUCUCAUCGUCGACUGGCAAAAUUUUCAGUACGUUCUCCUUCGUCCAUUUUUCCAUGUCUAACUUUCUAAAAGAAUUCGUAGUUUAACGAUUUCGAAUAAAGUCUUUGAAUAAAGAAUCCCCAAGUAAAAAAUACU